rnacentral:rRNA from 1 species
GACGAACGCUGGCGGCGUGCUUAACACAUGCAAGUUGAGCGGUAAGGCCCUUUCGGGGGUACACGAGCGGCGAACGGGUGAGUAACACGUGGGUGACCUGCCCUCAGCUCUGGGAUAAGCCUGGGAAACUGGGUCUAAUACUGGAUAUGACUCCACGGUGCAUGUCGUGGGGUGGAAAGCCUUGUGCGGCUGAGGAUGGGCCCGCGGCCUAUCAGCUUGUUGGUGGGGUGANGGCCUACCAAGGCGACGACGGGUAGCCGGCCUGAGAGGGCGACCGGCCACACUGGGACUGAGACACGGCCCAGACUCCUACGGGAGGCAGCAGUGGGGAAUCUUGCGCAAUGGGCGAAAGCCUGACGCAGCGACGCCGCGUGAGGGAUGACGGCCU